rnacentral:rRNA from 1 species
UGGGGAAUUUUGCACAAUGGGGGAAACCCUGAUGCAGCGACGCCGCGUGAUUUAGAAGGCCUUCGGGUUGUAAAAAUCUUUUCUAUGGGAAGAAAAUGACAGUACCAUAGGAAUAAGGACCGGCUAAUUACGUGCCAGCAGCCGCGGUAAUACGUAAGGUCCGAGCGUUGUCCGGAAUCAUUGGGCGUAAAGGGUACGUAGGCGGGUAAGCAAGUUAGAAGUGAAAUCCUAUAGCUCAACUAUAGUAAGCUUUUAAAACUGCUCAUCUUGAGGUAUGGAAGGGAAAGUGGAAUUCCUAGUGUAGCGGUGAAAUGCGCAGAUAUUAGGAGGAAUCCCGGUGGCGAAGGCGACUUUCUGGCCAUAACCUGACGCUGAGGUACGAAAGCGUGGGUAGCAAACAGG